rnacentral:rRNA from 1 species
UACGUAGGGGGGCAAGCGUUGUCCGGAUUCAUUGGGCGUAAAGAGCUCGUAGGCGGUUCGGCAAGUCGGGUGUGAAAAACUCCAGGCUCAACCUGGAGACGCCACCCCGAUACUGCUGUGACUUGAGUCCGGUAGGGGACCACGGAAUUCCUGGUGUAGCGGUGAAAUGCGCAGAUAUCAGGAGGAACACCGGUGGCGAAGGCGGUGGUCUGGGGCCCGGCACUGACGCUGAGGAGCGAAAGCGUGGGGGAGCGAACAGG